AAGACAAUCACGUGCUAAGGCUGAGCUGGAAAAGAAACUUAUAAAAGUUAGAAAGGUAAAAUUUUGUGUCUUUGGCCAUUUGUAUGUGAAUUUGCUAAUUUAUAUUGUAUUAUUGUUAUUUGAGUGCUUGUUACUUUUAGAUGCAACUUUAGCAUUAAUUGUGUGACAUAGUCGAAGAAGCGUUCCUAUUAUUGGUAUGGAGAACCAGGAAUACAUGAUAUGAAUCAACCACCAGAUAGAACAACAAAGUGAAUUGGAAGUGACAAUUGCUUUACUUUUUUUAGUGAAUUGGAACUGACAAUUGCUUUACUUUUUUUUAGUGACAUCUUUGCUUUUACUAGUGCUAUCUAUAGAAUUUGAUGAUGAUUUUGAAAAAGAUUUGGACUAAUAUGGC
rnacentral:misc_RNA from 1 species